rnacentral:rRNA from 1 species
GGCAGUCAGAGGCGAUGAAGGACGUACUAACUUGCGAUAAGCGCAGAUAAGGCAGUAAGAGCCGUUUGAGUCUGCGAUUUCCGAAUGGGGAAACCCAACUGCAUAAGCAGUUACUGUUAACUGAAUACAUAGGUUAACAGAGCAAACCGGGGGAACUGAAACAUCUAAGUACCCCGAGGAGAAGAAAUCAACCGAGAUUCCGGUAGUAGCGGCGAGCGAACCUGGAUUAGCCCUUAAGCACUCGGUGAAGUAGGUGAACAAGCUGGAAAGCUUGGCGAUACAGGGUGAUAGCCCCGUAACCGACGCUUCAUCGAGCGUGAAAUCGAGUAGGGCGGGACACGUGAUAUCCUGUCUGAAUAUGGGGGGACCAUCCUCCAAGGCUAAAUACUCCUGACUGACCGAUAGUGAACCAGUACCGUGAGGGAAAGGCGAAAAGAACCCCUGUGAGGGGAGUGAAAUAGAACCUGAAACCGUGUACGUACAAGCAGUAGGAGCACCUUCGUGGUGUGACUGCGUACCUUUUGUAUAAUGGGUCAGCGACUUAUAUUCAGUGGCAAGGUUAACCGUAUAGGGGAGCCGUAGCGAAAGCGAGUCUUAACUGGGCGCUCAGUCUCUGGAUAUAGACCCGAAACCGGGUGAUCUAGCCAUGGGCAGGUUGAAGGUUGAGUAACAUCAACUGGAGGACCGAACCGACUAAUGUUGAAAAAUUAGCGGAUGACUUGUGGCUAGGGGUGAAAGGCCAAUCAAACUCGGAGAUAGCUGGUUCUCCCCGAAAGCUAUUUAGGUAGCGCCUCGGACGAAUACUACUGGGGGUAGAGCACUGUUAAGGCUAGGGGGUCAUCCCGACUUACCAACCCUUUGCAAACUCCGAAUACCAGUAAGUACUAUCCGGGAGACACACGGCGGGUGCUAACGUCCGUCGUGGAGAGGGAAACAACCCAGACCGCCAGCUAAGGUCCCAAAGUAUUGCUAAGUGGGAAACGAUGUGGGAAGGCUCAGACAGCUAGGAUGUUGGCUUAGAAGCAGCCAUCAUUUAAAGAAAGCGUAAUAGCUCACUAGUCGAGUCGGCCUGCGCGGAAGAUGUAACGGGGCUAAGCAAUACACCGAAGCUGCGGCAAUAUCUUUUAGAUAUUGGGUAGGGGAGCGUUCUGUAAGCCGUUGAAGGUGAAUCGUAAGGUUUGCUGGAGGUAUCAGAAGUGCGAAUGCUGACAUGAGUAACGACAAAGGGGGUGAAAAACCUCCUCGCCGGAAGACCAAGGGUUCCUGUCCAACGUUAAUCGGGGCAGGGUGAGUCGACCCCUAAGGUGAGGCCGAAAGGCGUAAUCGAUGGGAAACGGGUUAAUAUUCCCGUACUUCUGACUAUUGCGAUGGGGGGACGGAGAAGGCUAGGUGGGCCAGGCGACGGUUGUCCUGGUUCAAGUGCGUAGGCUUGAGAGUUAGGUAAAUCCGGCUCUCUCUAAGGCUGAGACACGACGUCGAGCUGCUACGGCAGUGAAGUCAUUGAUGCCAUGCUUCCAGGAAAAGCCUCUAAGCUUCAGAUAGUCAGGAAUCGUACCCCAAACCGACACAGGUGGUCGGGUAGAGAAUACCAAGGCGCUUGAGAGAACUCGGGUGAAGGAACUAGGCAAAAUGGUACCGUAACUUCGGGAGAAGGUACGCUCUUGAUGGUGAAGUCCCUCGCGGAUGGAGCUGACGAGAGUCGCAGAUACCAGGUGGCUGCAACUGUUUAUUAAAAACACAGCACUGUGCAAAAUCGCAAGAUGACGUAUACGGUGUGACGCCUGCCCGGUGCCGGAAGGUUAAUUGAUGGGGUUAGCGCAAGCGAAGCUCUUGAUCGAAGCCCCGGUAAACGGCGGCCGUAACUAUAACGGUCCUAAGGUAGCGAAAUUCCUUGUCGGGUAAGUUCCGACCUGCACGAAUGGCGUAAUGAUGGCCACGCUGUCUCCACCCGAGACUCAGUGAAAUUGAAAUCGCUGUGAAGAUGCAGUGUACCCGCGGCUAGACGGAAAGACCCCGUGAACCUUUACUACAGCUUGGCACUGAACAUUGAACCUACAUGUGUAGGAUAGGUGGGAGGCUAUGAAGACGUGACGCCAGUUGCGUUGGAGCCGUCCUUGAAAUACCACCCUUGUAUGUUUGAUGUUCUAACUUAGACCCAUUAUCUGGGUUGAGGACAGUGCCUGGUGGGUAGUUUGACUGGGGCGGUCUCCUCCCAAAGAGUAACGGAGGAGCACGAAGGUGGGCUAAUCACGGUUGGACAUCGUGAGGUUAGUGCAAUGGCAUAAGCCCGCUUAACUGCGAGAAUGACGGUUCGAGCAGGUGCGAAAGCAGGUCAUAGUGAUCCGGUGGUUCUGUAUGGAAGGGCCAUCGCUCAACGGAUAAAAGGUACUCCGGGGAUAACAGGCUGAUACCGCCCAAGAGUUCAUAUCGACGGCGGUGUUUGGCACCUCGAUGUCGGCUCAUCACAUCCUGGGGCUGAAGUCGGUCCCAAGGGUAUGGCUGUUCGCCAUUUAAAGUGGUACGCGAGCUGGGUUUAGAACGUCGUGAGACAGUUCGGUCCCUAUCUGCCGUGGGCGUUGGAAGAUUGAAGGGGGCUGCUCCUAGUACGAGAGGACCGGAGUGGACGAACCUCUGGUGUUCGGGUUGUGUCGCCAGACGCAUUGCCCGGUAGCUAAGUUCGGAAUUGAUAAGCGCUGAAAGCAUCUAAGCGCGAAGC